rnacentral:rRNA from 1 species
CAAUAGCAUAUAUUAACGUUGUUGCAGUUGAAAAGCUCGUAGUUGAACUUUUGGUAGGAGCGACCUGGCCUUGGGCGCAUGCCCUUGUUUGCUGUGUGUCGUAUCUGGCCAUCCUUUUCUUCUUUUUGGAAGGAAUCUUUUACUGUGAGUAAACUGGAGUGCUCAAAACAAGACGUUUGUUUGGUACAUUAAAGCAUGGAAUAAUAAGAUAGGACCUGGUUACUAUUUUGUUGGUUUGCAUAGCUAGGUAAUGAUUAACAGGGACAGUUGGGGGUAUUCGUAUUUAAUUGUCAGAGGUGAAAUUCUUGGAUUUAUGAAAGACGAACGACUGCGAAAGCAUUUACCAAGGAUGUUUUCAUUAA